UACGUAGGGUGCGAGCGUUAAUCGGAAUUACUGGGCGUAAAGCGUGCGCAGGCGGUCUGUUAAGACCGAUGUGAAAUCCCCGGGCUUAACCUGGGAACUGCAUUGGUGACUGGCAGGCUUUGAGUGUGGCAGAGGGAGGUAGAAUUCCACGUGUAGCAGUGAAAUUCGUAGAGAUGUGGAGGAAUACCGAUGGCGAAGGCAGCCUCCUGGGCCAACACUGACGCUCAUGCACGAAAGCGUGGGGAGCAAACAGG
rnacentral:rRNA from 1 species